AUUGAACGCUGGCGGCAGGCCUAACACAUGCAAGUCGAGCGGAUGAAGGGAGCUUGCUCCUGGAUUCAGCGGCGGACGGGUGAGUAUGCCUAGGAAUCUGCCUGGUAGUGGGGGAUAACGUCCGGAAACGGGCGCUAAUACCGCAUACGUCCUGAGGGAGAAAGUGGGGGAUCUUCGGACCUCACGCUAUCAGAUGAGCCUAGGUCGGAUUAGCUAGUUGGUGGGGUAAAGGCCUACCAAGGCGACGAUCCGUAACUGGUCUGAGAGGAUGAUCAGUCACACUGGAACUGAGACACGGUCCAGACUCCUACGGGAGGCAGCAGUGGGGAAUAUUGGACAAUGGGCGAAAGCCUGAUCCAGCCAUGCCGCGUGUGUGAAGGAGGUCUUCGGAUUGUAAAGCACUUUAAGUUGGGAGGAAGGGCAGUAAGUUAAUACCUUGCUGUUUUGACGUUACCAACAGAAUAAGCACCGGCUAACUUCGUG
rnacentral:rRNA from 1 species